AGUGAACGCUGGCGGUAGGCCUAACACAUGCAAGUCGAACGGCAGCACAGUAAGAGCUUGCUCUUACGGGUGGCGAGUGGCGGACGGGUGAGGAAUACAUCGGAAUCUACUUUUUCGUGGGGGAUAACGUAGGGAAACUUACGCUAAUACCGCAUACGACCUACGGUUGAAAGCAGGGGAUCUUCGGACCUUGCGCGAUUGAAUGAGCCGAUGUCGGAUUAGCUAGUUGGCGGGGUAAAGGCCCACCAAGGCGACGAUCCGUAGCUGGUCUGAGAGGAUGAUAAGCCACACUGGAACUGAGACACGGUCCAGACUCCUACGGGAGGCAGCAGUGGGGAAUAUUGGACAAUGGGCGCAAGCAUGAUCCAGCCAUACCGCGUGGGUGAAGAAGGCCUUCGGGUUGUAAAGCCCUUUUGUUGGGAAAGAAAAGCAGCAGGUUAAUACCCCGCUGUUCUGACGGUACCCAAAGAAUAAGCACCGGCUAACUUCGUG
rnacentral:rRNA from 1 species